AAACUUUACAUUGACCUGAUCAAACUUUGAGAUGCUAAUAGUUAUGAAGCCUCAAGAACAUAACACCAGAACAGAGUAAACAGAGCAACACACAAGAUUGUUAACCCAGUUACAUCCGUUAAAGAGAGUGUUAGUCUGGGUCGGGAACUGUCUUCCAAAACCCAUUAGAUAUCAGAGAUUACAAGUGUAUUUUAACCUCGAGAUCUUUGUAGUAUCUGUCUUGAUUUAAAUUUAGAUUCUACUCUCUCAAGAACACUCACAAACUUAUACUUUGAAAAAGGCUCUCCCUUUUUGCUCACACCUAUCUCUCUC
rnacentral:lncRNA from 1 species